rnacentral:lncRNA from 1 species
AUGGUGAUAGUGGUGGCAUUUGAAACAAUGAAAGUGAUAACUAUGGUGGCAGCAAUCUUCAUGACAGUGGCUGAUGUUGGUGGUGGUGGAGGCAGAAAUGAGGCAAGACUUGUACAAGCAGCAAUACUGGUGUUGGAAGGGGAUGUGAAUGGCGGUGGGGUUGCAAAGUGGUGGCAAUAAUGGUGGAUGUGGUCGUGGCAAUGAAGUGGUGGUAACAUUAGUGUCGACAAAGGUAGUGAAUGCUAUAGAGGUUGUCAUAUAAG